AAAAAGUUGUUACAAUGUUUAGUGAAGCAAACAAGUAUCAAUAUAAAGUUAUGAGGGUUGCCACUAGUCAUAUUUUUCAAUUAACAAACAAAAGAACAAACUAAAAAUGCACCCAAUAUCAAAACUUGCUCAGAAAGUUGACUGUAAGAAAUUGUUUUAAAAUUCUAUGAGAUUCCUCAGGUAGUAGGGAACCAUAAAUGCACAUUAUGAAAGGUUCAAUACAAAGUAAUUUAUGUAGAAUGCUCCAAAAAUUACAUAACCUGAAGGAAAAAUUUCUAAAAUUAUAUCACACUGAUUAGUUUAUUACUAAAAUAGAUAUCUGAACUAUUUGUUUCUAAGUCUAACUCUUGUAAAUAAAUGGUGGCAUGACAUAAUUCUAUGAAGUUUGCUUAAGCAGUGGAGCAAGAGAGUAUCUUUUUUUUUUUCCCUGUUCCCUACCAUUCUGAAGACUUUUGGUUGUUUGAAUAGUGAAAUGGCCUUUUGAGAUGUAGUUACAGCAAAUAUCUUAACAACAAAUGAGUUGGCACUAGCUCACGGUGCUAGGACAAGAUUCUCCAGGAUGAUGGAUGUGCUCUAAAUUGGCAUCUCAUACAGCACUGUUUCUCCUAUGGGUCCGGGACUUGAGGGCAUGGGAAUCAUCCCUAUAACUUACCAGCAAAUUUUAUUUUCGUGUUCUGUAGAUAUUAUGGUUCCACCAGGAGGAACACCCAGCCAUUCCUUUGAACUGGAAGCUAAGACACCCACACAUACCUAACACCACACCCAUUUACUCUGGAUUCCUUGUGUCCUUGAGUUAACUAAAAAUUGUUAUUGUUACUGGAGUGACAGUUCCACUUGACCAGUGGGGAAUGAGACUGCCAUUCAGCAAUGGAGAUGUUCUGAUUAUUUUUUGUUUACUUUACAUAAGCUAGAGUUACCUGUAAGAGAAAUUGCCAUUAGAUUGGCCUGUAGGCAAGUCUGUGGGGGCAUUUGUUUGAUUAAUGAUGUAUGUAUGUAUAUAUAUUCCUUUAAUGGGACAGGGCUACUGUGGGUAGUGCAACUCCUGGGUAGGUGCUGUAUAAGAAAGCAGGCUGAGUGAGCCAUGAGGAGCAAGCCAAGACUCAAGUCUUCCUCCUUGGUCUCUUCUUCAGAUCCUACUUCCAAGUUCUAAGUUCCUGCCUUGAGAUUCUCCUACCCUGGCUUCUCUUGGGGUUGGAAUGUAAAGUGUAAUUAAAACAAAUCCUUUUUCCUCAAGUUGAUUUUGGUCAGUGUUUUAGCAACAACAACAACAAUAACAAUUCAAACUAGAAUACAAGGAGAGGAAGUCUAUUCCUGGAUUUCCUUAUUAUUGCCAUGUCUGUUGAUUAAAACCCAUGGGAAGCUACAACGCAGUCCAAACAGGGUAAUAAAUGGCUCAGAUACUCCAGAAUGCAAGUUUGAAUGGCUUCUCAGGGUAAAGAACCAGUUGAUUUGGGUGUAUGAUGAUGUUUUUAUUUACUUAUAAGUUUUUUUAUACCAAAAUUUAUUUUAAAUUAUAAAAAUGAAGAUGCUUAGCACUUGCU
rnacentral:lncRNA from 1 species